ensembl:lncRNA
GGACACCACUUCGUUUUAUAUGUCUUUUAUUCGUGUUUCUAGGUCACAAAAUACACUUUUAAGAUAUUUUCAGGCGAGAAUGUAGGUGUGUAAACUUCAAAUAUCUGCUCGUUUUAUCAAGACAUCCCAUAUUAGCGACAAUUCUCUUAAGUGUUGCUGAUAGCCGGCUAGCUAGCUAGCGCCGCUAGCUUAGCUAGCUAGCGCCCCUUCGUGAAAAACCACCCAGGCUUGGCUGAUAGUGAGGUGGCUAAAAUUUGUUUAAUCGCCCGAUCGCUCGGCAAGGGUCUGUGUCUUAGCUGGACUUAUUUUUCGUUUAUAUGGGCCGAUGAUGCUGGUCGAUGUGGAAAAAAUAACUGAGUUGUUUGGUGGUGGAGCUACAACAGAGGGCAGCUAUCCACCGGUGUGUGACAGAAAGGACAUGCCGCGAACGAGACAUACAAGGCGGUGAGGCUACCGCCGAUCGUCCGGUGUUUGCUAACGCGGAGGUCAAUCGUGGAUCAGGGAAAGCGAAGGCAGGAGCGUGAGGUGAACUGAAUUUCAGGUAAGAAGUUAUGACCUGCACUCUAUUUGGGUCAGAUAUAAACCGAGUUUAGGUGUAGUUUAUUUAGCAACAGUUCUCUUACGUGUUGCUGAUAGCCAGCUGGCUAGCUAGCUAGCGCCGCUAGCUUAGCUAGCUAGCGCGGCUAG